AAAUGCCUUAACACUACCAGGCUCCAGCAAGAACGUACCAUAAUCUAAUAUACUUCUUAUAAGAGCAUUAUAUAACAAUUUCAUGCAAAAAGGGUGCGCACCCCACCAAACACCUGACAGACAUCUUAAAAUAUUAAGAGUACGCUCACAUUUAGCAUUUAGGUAAUCACAAUGUGGGAUACCAGUUAGUUUCGAAUCUAAGACAAUUCCCAAAAACUUAACAUUAUCUUUAACUGGAAUCUGAUAACCCUCAUAAAAUAUAGAAAUAGGAGGAGGAGUUCUUGAUCUCGUGAAUAAAACUAUUGUACUUUUUUCAGGUGAUAGAUCAAGGCCAUUUAAGUCCAACCAAGUUUUUAAAUUUAUCAGCGGUUGUGUUAUAGAAGAACUAGCUUUUUCAAUAGAAAUAUCACGACAGUAAAUUAAUAGAUCAUCAGCAUACUGAAGAACAUUUACACUAAUAAGUGAUGAUUUUAAAUCGUGUGUAUAAAUAUUAUACAAUAUUGGGCUAAGUACUGAUCCCUGGGGGAGGCCCUUUGAAACAAGUCGAGUAAUUGACUUCCUGUCAUCUAGUUUCAGGAUUAUGUAUCUUUCGGAAAGCAUGUUUAUGAUAAAAUUUGUUAAUAGCAGAGUUAUAUUAAGUUGUAAAAGCUUACUCUUUAAAAUACUUAUUACGACAUUAUCAUAGGCACAAUUUAUAUCUAAGAACGCAGCUAUUACUGAUUUAUUAUUUGAAAAUGAUAAUUGAAUAUCAGAAAUGAAUAUACUUAAGCUAUCAAUAGUACUUUUCCCACGUCUGAAACCGAAUUGGGAUUCACAUAAUAGACCGUUAUGCUCAACAAACCAUUCUAAACGAUUUUUUAUAAGAUGUUCUGUAAUUUUCAUCAAAACAGAAGAAAGUGCGAUUGGGCGAUAGGCAGAAUGGUCUGAAGAACACCUAUUAGGUUUCAGUACGGGAAUUAUUUCUUGACAUUUCCACGUGGAGGGGAUGUUACCAGAUGUCACUAUGGAAUUUAUAAGAGAUAAAUAAUAAAAUAAAGCAUCAUCAUCUAAAUGAGAGAUAAAGGAAUACGGAAUACCGUCCAGUCCAGGAGCAGAAUCCUUAACAUGAGACAAUACACCUUUUAGUUCAGUGAGAGAAAAUAUACUGUUUAAACCAAAACAGUUAUCAUUAUUUAUAUUUAUUACAGGGUAACCAAUUAUUAAGUCUUCAGGAACGAAAGGUGGAGCCAAUUUAUCUAAAAAGCUAUUAACUAAAUGAAAAGGGAUUGAUUUUGGGGAUGAAUCUUUGUAUGCAGAUCUAAACCUUCUUAUAUUUUGCCAUACAAGAGAUGGUUUGACAUCAGGUGAUAUUGAAUAGCAGAAAUUUUUCCAGCCAUCAAAUUUCUUUUUCUUUAGAAAUUUUGAAGUUUCUGACAUACUCUUUGUAAGAAUUUCAAAAUUCUCAUCAGUGGAACAUUGACAGUAUGUAAUUUCAGCAUAUUUUCUUCUCUUUACUGCCACAGUACAUUCGUUAUCCCACCAAGGAGGAGAAGGAAUAAAACCCAAAGAGCUAUUUUUACUUGGAAAUAUCUCAUUGGCAACCUCAAUAAAGAUUCUUGCUAAAGAAUCUGCACACUGAGAUUCUGUACCUGAAUUAAUUUUUGGAAGUGUUGGAAAUGAUAAUAAUAGUGGGAAGUGAUCACUACCAAAAGUAGAUCGUAAUGGAUCCCAGGACAAAGAGGACGCAAGAUUAGGUGUAGUGACUGUUAAAUCUGGAUCACUUGGGCCCUCGUCAGGAUGAGAACGUCGUGUAGGACGACCAUCAUUUAAUAUACACAAAUUCACUGAAUCAAAUAUAUCUAUUAAUGUGUUACCAUAACUAUUAGAAGAUAAGUAACCCCAGGAUUCAUGGCGACAGUUAAAAUCACCAAGGAUCAUAAAAGGCUUCGGAAGAAUGGAAAUAAUAUCUUUAAUUUCAUUUAAGAUUGCAAAAGAAGGAUGAGGUAUAUAAAUAGAUACAUAACAGAUAUUUUCAACUAAAGCAGCAAUAAUAGAAAAAUCAUUACUGUGAGAAGGAAUAGAGAAGAGAGAAAAGGAAAGAGGGUGUUUCACAAGCAUGGCUACUCCGCCAUGCCCAUCCACACGAUCUUCUCUGAGACAUGAACAACCACGAAUCUUAAAUAAAGAUCCUGGUUUCAACCAUGUCUCUUGAAGAGCACAGAUAUAAGGUUUAUAUUUAUUUAAUAAAUAAAUAAGAUCACUUUUUUUAGGAGUGAUGCUUUGACAAUUCCAUUGAAGAACUUUGUCCAUUAUUUGGUUUAUAAAUUUGAGUAAUUGCAGAAACUAAUAAGGCAGCGUUGGACGGUGAAAAUUCAUUCGAUUGACUAAGAGAUUUUAUAAGAGAAAUAAUUAAAUCAAUUACUGAGGAUUCCAAA